CCGCACCCCGGGCGAGAAGGCGCACGCGGGGAAAGGGGCCCGGCGGAGCCGGGAGGGCACUGACCCGGUGCCGCGACUCAGGGCAGAUGAAAACUGAGGUACAGAGAGGUCAAGGAACUUGUCCAAGGCCAUACAGCAAAUAAAUCGUGGAUUUGGAAUCCAGAUAGGCUGCUCCAGAGACUAUGCUUACAACCGCUUGCCCCAGCCUGUUCCCCUUCAGUCCUGUUGCAGUUUUCAUCUUCCAAGAAAGAGAGCUGAGUUUGCAGAGCAACCAAUUAACCUGAAUUCCAAAGAAGGACGGGAACCUCCGAGAAGAAUUGGGGCACAGGCGCUGGCACGCUUGUGAAACAGGAGGAAGACGGGGACUCCAUUCAGACAGGUUGAUGUUUUUCCCUGAAGAAAUGUAAUUAAUCCAAAGUAAGGAAAAAAAAAUGAGAAAAAAAUGGAUGGAAAUAUAAAACAAAUAUGUAAGAUUUUAAUCCAAUUGCCAAUGAAAGAACCAAUUAAAGGACAGACUAGUACAUUUGGAAAUAAAGCAAAAGGCAAUAAUGUGCUGUCUAUAGAAACCGAAUUUAACUAUAAAGAAACAUGUACGUUAAAAGUAAAUGGAUGGAAGGACACCUGGAUGGCUCACUCGGUUAAGCACCCGACUUUGGCUCAGAUCAUGAUCUCGUGGUUCAUGAGUUUGGGCCCCACAUUGGGCUCUGUGCUGACAGCUCAGAGCCCGAAGCCUGCUUCGGAUUCUGUGUCUCCCUCUCCUUCUGCCCCUCCCACUCACACUCUAUCCCUCUCUCUCAAAAAUAAAUUAAUUAAUUAAUUAAAAAUUAAAAAAAAAAAAAGUAAAUGGAUGGAAUGAGAUGUACCACACAAACAGUAAUCAAAUCAAACUGGAGUGGCAGUAUUCAUAGCAGACAAAUAUAAACCUUCAAAAAGACUAUUAGCAGUGAUGGAAGAGGGAUAGUGAUAACAAUAAAAAGUUCAAUUCACCAAAAAGACUUCACUAUUAUAAUGCGAAUACAUCUAAUAACAGAGUUUCAAAAACAGAUGAAGUAAAAACCAAUAGACCUAAAAUAGAAAGAGAAAAAUCUAUAUUUCAGUUCGAGAAUUCAAUACUGCUCUCUCAGUAAUCAAUAAAACAAGUAGGAGAAAAAAGGAAGGAGGUAGAAAACCUGAACGCUAUCAACUGACUUGUUCCGACUGCCACGUUGCUAACACUUUAACCCGACAACAGCAGGAUAAGGAUUCUUGCAACUGCACAUAAAGCAUUCACCAAGCUGCAUCAUAGCCUGGGCCACCAAACGAACCUCAACAAAUUUAAAAGAAUCUAAAUCAGACAAAAUGUAUUAUGACUAUACAAGAAUUAAAAUGUAACCAAUAAAGGCAUCUGGGAGACACCCCCAAUCCUUGGGAAUAAAACAGGACACUUCAAAAAAAACCGAGAGUCAAAGGUGAACUCCAAAAGGAAAUGAGAAGAAUAUCUUGAAUUGAAUGAAAACUGAAACGCAGCUGCCUGCCACCAAAGGCCCCCCGGUGCUCCCUGCCCUUCCUUUAUUCUUACCUUUGUGUAGUCCUCUGCUACACUGUAUCGAGGCGACUCUCGAUACAGUCACAAACGGUGGUGGAUCCUGUCCAAAACUAGGAUUGAAAAAACAAAAGACCACAGCUCCCGUCUCGGGUGUGUGUCCUCUGUUGCUUGGCUCGCUCGCUCUGGAGGAAGCACCCUACUGUGUCAUCAACAGCCAUGCAGACAGGCCUACGCGGCAUGGCACUGAAGAUUCCAGCCGACGGCCAGGAAGAACAGAGACCGGCCGGCAACCGCAUGCGGGCGCAGGGAAACGGAACCGCCGGGCCCGGUGGAGCCUCGAGAGAGUGGACUGCGGUCCUGGCCGGGGGCUUGACGGCCACCUCGAGAGAUGCUGAGACAUCACCACCUCAGCUAGAGCACUCCUGGAUUCCUGAUGCCCCAAACCCCUGACAUAAUAAAUCCCUCUUGUAUUAAACUGCUACACUCAAGACUAGUUUGCCAUGCAGCAGGAGACAGGGCCUAGACUUUGGUACUGCGGGAGAGUGCUGCUGUGUCAGCUCCGAAAUGUGGCAGUGGCGUUAGCACUCACCACAAAUUGAUGAGACUGUAGGGAAAGCGCCUUGGAAACGCUGUUAAUAGAAGCCUCGGGCCUUUGAGAA